AUGAUUGCAGAAUAAUAUGUUGGACCUGUUGGACCCCCGGACAGCUGUGUGCGGAGCGAGAGCGUCUUUGGUGAUUACCUCUGUGUGCCCACUGAGGCGGGUCCGUUAGGGAUCCUACAUCAUGGAAUGGGGCUUGAGUGAAGAAGUGUUGGGAUUUGGUUCCUGGAUCACACACACUUUUGAGUAAGGUCAAAAUAGAUCUUGGCCGCGGUGGAUGCAAUAGGAUCAUGGGAAAGUACACUGAGGGAUCACGUGAGAAACAAAGGAAUCCAGGUAACGGUGGGAUGUCUCAGCGUGGGCAUGGAAACCAUGUCCAGUUGACACGGUUACGGUGGCAUCUCCCCCAUUCAUCUACACCUGUAAAGGGCCCAGGAUUCAGACCCAGCAAGAGACUCUGUUUGGAAGAGGAAGACUUAUCUGCAGAGUUUCAAUCUGAUCCGCUUGACUGAUCGUAUAACCCUGGGGAUUCUGUUACAGAGGAAUCCGAAAUAUGGUUUGGUCCUACGUACGGUGACCGAAAGUCAGACGCGCUGCUUGUGAACAGGCAAGGCUGGUUACUGCUUGGGAGGCUGGUUACUGCUUGGGGGGGCUGGUUACUGCUUGGGGCACCCGCCAGGCAGGCAGACAUAACUUCCUCAAAAAAUGUCAAAAUGUGGCAACCGCAACUCCCCCUCCCCUUUUUAUGAUUGAUUCCCACAGCGCCCUCAAAGUUUGCAUUGAAAAUGAAAAGGUGUUAUCCAUCUGGAAGUGACAAAAGAAAGCAAAAAACGGCAACAUGUGCCAUGACUGCUAAAAGUCUUUCACAAUAUGUACCCUGUUUUUUUUGCAAAUCUAAACAUUUUAAAUAAAAUAAUUUAUAUAAUUUGAUUUUGUAAAUUUUUUCAAUGGUGUCACAUUGUUUAUAAUAUAAUGGUUAUGUACACUGGUGGCAGGCCCCCCUAGGAAUAUUUUGCCUAUGGCCCUAAGUGACUCUAGAAUCGCCACUGCCCGAAGUACAAUGUUUUUGAAAGCUGCCUCAGAGUGCUGUUUGAAAUCUGUCCGGUGUGCAAGACAAAUUGAGGUCCAGCAACAGACAGGCAUGUUCAACCAGCAUGGCAGUAAUCUGUAAAUGACUCAAGACGGUGGCAGGCAGCCCAUGUAAGUACGACACCCGUUGGCCAACCUCCUGCCAUCAGCUUGCCUCUUGUUUCCCCGGUGCAUCGGUGUGCCAACUUUCAACUAUUACCAUAUGGAAUUUGUGGAAUUUUCCGACAUAUUUUCCUAUUUUUCAUAUAAUCCUUGCUCUAUAAGCUGAAACUUGUAGAUGAGUUGGUCGCUGCAAAAAAAACCUUGGGGCCUGAGAAGGCGGCCAAGUGGAAGUCAGUUGUCAACCACAUCCAGAAUUUGCAUGCAUGAAGACCACCUCUUCCCCAAGUGUGGGCAUCUUGACAGUGUAUCGGAAUCCAAGUAAACGGUUGCAACCAGGUAUGGUAACAAAAUGUGCUGGUAAAAUAUAAACGUAUAUUCUAGACGGGUAAGGAAAAAUCCAUUGCACUGGUUGAGUUAUGAUUACAUACAUAUAGAUAACUACAUCAUCUCAUGGACUUCUUAAUGCAGGCCCCUAGGGCACAAACACGCAUACAUAGUACGCGUUUAUCUUUCCUGAAUGUAUUCUAGGGGAUUGUAGACGGGAUAAAUCCAUUUAAAAAGCAUACAAACUUGCCAGAACCACUUCUGGCUCCAUUCCGUAUGGAGUAUGACGAAUCUGUCAUACUUGUGACAACAGUUGUUUGAUGGUUUGUUAACCAUGAUAUUAUUAUGUGAAAAAUACUUUGUCACUGGAAAUCCUGGGUAGUGCAUUAAGUCUCUGUGCUGACCGACAGACACUGUGAAACCAGAUCCUAAGACCGCACACACACAAAAGAGUAGAAGAUAGUGUGUAUAGUUAAAUCCUUGUGUGCGAGUUUGAUAUGGAAAGCAGGCAUGCAACCUUAACCUGCAACGCAGCUGUGUUUUGCAAGAUCAUGAUCACGAUGAGAAUCCAUUUUGCCAGGCUUCAAGAUAUGUUUCAGCUAAUCAGCAUCCCCGAAAAAGCUUGCCAUAAGGCCCAACCUCAACCCUUACCCUUUGACAUUUGCAGUAGACGACUCUCCCCCUCUCCCCCUUCCCAACUGUAGGAUUCAGCCGCAGCGUAUGAAAAACACUUGCAAACAUCUGGGACAGCUUAACCUUUCCUAAACAAAUUGGCAGUGACAUGGAGAUGGCAGUUCUCAAUAGUUAUAAUUUAAUCCUGAGACACUUUGAAACAUAGGGACUUCCGAAAACUCCCACGUCCAGGCCUGCAGCGUUUUUGUGUUCUUAUACCAUUGUAAAACAGAUUCUCCAAUAAUUCUAUAGACAAUAUGAUGACAUAGUAAACAUUACUGUUUAUGAAUGCAUUGUACUGAGAUUUAUU
ensembl:lncRNA